UGGGGCUUGGCUCAAUAAUAGAGCACUUGCCUUGUACGUAUGAGGCACUGAGUUUGAUCCUCAGCACCACAU
rfam:Ictidomys tridecemlineatus contig062512, whole genome shotgun sequence.